rnacentral:rRNA from 1 species
UACGUAGGGGGCAAGCGUUGUCCGGAUUCAUUGGGCGUAAAGAGCGUGUAGGCGGCCAGGUAGGUCGGUUGUGAAAACUGGAGGCUCAACCUUCAGAGGUCGACCGAAACCAUCUGGCUAGAGUCCGGGAGAGGAGAGUGGAAUUCCUGGUGUAGCGGUGAAAUGCGCAGAUAUCAGGAAGAACACCCGUGGCGAAGGCGACACACUGGCCCGUUACUGACGCUGAGGCGCGAAAGCGUGGGGAGCAAACAGG